CACUUACAGGUGCCAUUUGAAGAUUAAAACUGAAUUGAUUAAAUGGAGAUAAAAUUGAAUCUCCUUCCUCAGUCACAAUUGGCCACCUUUCAAGGGCUUGGUUGCCACAUGUGGUUCGUGGUUACGCUGGCUAGUGCAGAAUGACAGACUGCUUCCCUCGCUGCAAAAACUUCCCUUGGCUGGUGCUUAUCCACAGAAGCGGUUCUCGACAUCGUCACUAUUGAUGUCUUGGGCUGAUGACUCUUGGUUGUAGAGAGCUGCCUCGUGCAUUGUAGGAUGCUUAGCAGCAUCUCUGGCCUCUACCCACUAGAUGCCAGUAGUAACCCACCCCCAGUGUGACAAGCAACUAUCUCCAGACAUUGCCAAAUGUCCCUUGCGGAGGGAGGGGGGAGGGGGGAGGGGGAUAGUGAUGGGAAAAUUGCCCCAGUUGAGAGCUACUGGGCUAGAUCAUAUAGACCAUCAGAGACAUCCCUGGAGGUGGGGGCAUAAAGAUACAGGUAGGCUGGACCAGUUUCCUUCAGGCUGGGAUAGAAGCAACAGAACAUGCAGCCUGCUCCAUCAGGAUGGCUCAGACAGGCAUCCAGAGUUCUUGGACAAGAGUGAAAGAUGGAAAGACAGAGGGAAGGCUGGCAAGGAGGCGGUACGUCUCACCUGGGUUGAGCACUGCAGCUGCCUCCUCUAUAACCUCCCAGCCUCCUGUUCUCCCCCCCCACUCCCCCCCGCAGUCAGCCCUACAUGCUGGCUGCUAGAGUGAUGGGUGAGCAGAAACAGCCUGGACUGUCAUUUCCUUCCUUAAGUACGCCUAGUAGUUUCCCAUUGUUCUUAAAAUCAAGAUACUUUGGGAGUUCCCCAGUGGCCUAGUGGUGAAGGAUCCAACAUUGUCACUGCUACACAGUCACUCGGGUCACUGCUGCUGUGGGGGUUCAAUCCCUGGCCUGGGGACCCCUGCAUGCUGUGGGUGCAGCAAAGGAAAAAUCAAGACGAUUUUGGCCUGAUACCCAGAUCUCUCAUACACUGGUUGUUUCCUCAGCUUUUGCAGGUUCCUUCCACGGUCCUCUAAUUUCCUGUGGACCACACUGGUCUCUUCCCGAGCCACACCCUUUCACGCUUUGCAUCAGUGGUUCCCUGUGCCCGGAAUGCCCUUUCUCUCUCUCUCUCUCUCUCUGGCUUUCCUGUGUCACGGGCCCCCAAGACUACCCACUGAUCACCGGAAGAACUCUUGGAACUUAGCGUGUAGUUGUCUUCGCAUCUACAGUUCCUUACAGUGAAAAGAUGCAUGAGAGUGAAAGCAAGAAGGACAUCAGGUGGUCUGGCUUCCUCGGCUCUUCCUCCCACGAGGGACCACACCGAGCCUGCUCCCUACCCCAGCCGUGAAAAUGUAGCCACAAGUAUGCAGUGCUUCCGCCCAGGGAAGCCUGUUAGAGUCUCAGAGUACAGUUUUUACGAGGGGCUGAUCACAGGGGCAUUCUUAGUCUCGCAGCUCCCAAAACAGCAGAGUCCCAGAAGGAAAGCAAGAAUUCCACUGCAAACACUUUUUUUUGGUAGAAUUUAGUCCCAACCAAGCAGCUUUAUCUUAGGAAAUAUUUCAAUAGCCAAGCUCCUCAACACCAGACAAGGACCAACCUUGUAAGCAAGCCCUUCUAAAGACAGCAGCUUCAAGCUUACUGUGUUCAUUCUUUUCUGUAGCUUUUCUCUCCCAGAUCAAAGGUCACUCUCUUUGUAAAUCUUUGCUUGCUUCCCAGGUAAAGCUAGUUCAUGGUCUCUGGGACUCUAUGGCUUUCUCUGGUUCCUUGUAUUGUAAAAGAAACCAUGAGGAUUUGUAAUUGCCUGUGUGUUUUGCAUCCAGACUUUGCACGUGUUGAAGGCACACUGAAGGCUGGGCCAGCACAGGGCUCAGCACCCUUACGGGACUUGCUAUGUGUUUACUGAAUAAAUAGGUGACUGGAAAGCAUUAAUGUAUAAUAGACUUAGAAUACAGAGGACACAGACCACAUACAUGGCCCCCCUGCCCUUAGGGGAGGGUGUAGGGAAGGCCCAGGCCCGGUGAGAUGGAGCAGGUGAGCUCAGCCAGACAUCCAUCCAUCCUGGCCCACCAUCCACAGCUAGACCUGGUGGUCCAUCAGCCAUGAGAGCCAACAGUAGCUAAGCUCACAUCCCCCAUCUUCUGCCAGCCAAGGAGAUCACACCUUCCCCAGGUGGCAGCUCAUUGGCUGGGAGCAUCACGUUGGGAGCAGCAGCAUCCAUGCUAGACCUUUGGCAAAGCAUCCUGAGAUGCCCAUGUGGGCCAGGUAAGGGAAGGAGACAUCGCUGGCUAGAGAAUAAUCUUCAGCAUCCCUUUAAGAUGGGGCUCUUACAGGAUGUUCCCUGGGAGGAGUGAGGCAGAGGGGGGCUGCCCUCAAUGUCCCAGAGCCCUUUAGUUGGAAAAGGCAGCUCAUGUACACUCCUUGGACUUCGGGAUUCAGGUGACCUGUGCUGGAAUUCCAGCCCCAUCAUUUGCUGUGAGAUCUGGAGGUACCUUAGAUUCCGGGAGCUUCAGUUGCCUCACCUGUCACAUAAGAAGAAAACCUCCUCCACGAGGUUGUAAGGGUCACAUGGCACAAGGGGUCUGGCCUAGUCCCAUCCCAGUGCCCGGAAAGGGGAGUUGCUCGUGACUGCCAUCAUUGUGGGCACUAUGCAGUUAUUGCUGGCAUGUAGGGCUCAGUGUGCUUGACGCCUUCCAGUGAAGAGCAGAGGAGGGCCCCAACGUGGCCUGUGCUUUGGGCAGUGGCUCCAGUUAACACAAGUGUGUUUGGACCCCAGAGCUCACCAUGCCCAGCGGGCCAUCUUGGUCAGCCAGCCUCACCCUGGGCAAACAGCUCUGGCCAAAAUGCAAAACAGCCCCAGAGACUUUGGGGGUAACCAUGGCAACUGCCUCCUGAGUGGGAUUAUUGUUACUUUAUCAGAAAAUUUCUUCCUUCACCUUUCGGAUACUCCAAAGUCGCUUCAUUUUUAAGUGUGGUUUUACUAUAUCUCGGAGCAAAAUCUUUUUGCAGCAGAAAUCCUUCCCCAGUUGAGUGAUGCAAGCCAAUUGCAAAGAGUCUAGAAAUCUGCUCCAGUGACAACUUUUUUUCCUGCAAGUUGCCUGGGAUCACUGCCUAUUUUUACCCCCGGUGAAGAGUAUCAUCAGGACCAGGUGAUGUGGCCGUCACAUUCUCUUGCUGUGGAUGAUCAGUUUUUCUCCCUCUGGGGUCUCCUUCAAGAUGCUCCAUCCAUCGUUAGGAGCAGGAGACUGUGGGCUCCUAAGGCAGGAACCUCCUCCCAGCACCAGUAGAUGUGGGCCUGUGGCUGAGCUCCUAGCACCAAGCUGGGAGAAGAGAAGGAGAAGUUCAACUUUCCAGCGAUGAGAUAGCAGGUGAGACGUUUUACCUCAUGGGUCCCAGGUUCCUCACUGUGAAAAGGGUUAAUGACACCAAGUUAUCAGCCCCAUGUACUGUCUGGCAUCUAAUAAGUGCUUUAUUAUUAUUUUUUUUAAUGGCCACACUCAUGGCAUAUGGAAGUUUCCAGGCCAGGGAUCAAAUCCCAGUUGCAGGUGCUACCCGAGUCACUGCAGUCAGGUUCCUAACCCACUGCACCCCAGCGGGAACUCCAAAUAAGUGCUUUUUAACAGAAUGAAUGAAUAGAUGGAUGAAUGAAUGAAUGAAGAAUCUAAUUAAUGAAUUCCUUGCUGUGUCUCUUGCAAGGCUCAAAUGAAAGAACAGUUACAGAAGUUCAUCAUAAGCUGCAAAGUGCUCUUAAGUGCGCGGAUGGCUGUCCUUGUGGUUGAUAAUGAAAACACUGCCUGCUUGGCCAGCAGAGUCACCUCCUGCCAAUCCUGCUGGUCUCAGGCUGGCUUCUUCAUGUCCUGCCUCAAAAGUCUUCACUCCUCGUGGGGGAAAGUGCAUGCUCUUGACCUUGACAGCAAGAUCCCCACAGUUCGGUUCUGGUCCGACUUUGCAGGUGAAUCCCUUUGUGUCCUUCUGUGCUCCAGCUGGUCAGGAUUCAGACUGAAAGCCACCUCCUUCUGGCGACAGUGAAGGAGGAAAAGUGAUUGCCAAAGUCGCAGCAUCAGAGCUCACCCAUCUUAUUCCUUUUGAGGGAGGAAGAAAAUCCUGUGGGGGUCAUUCCAUGACCUAACCUGUUCCCAGGAAAUGGCCGUGCUGCCCUUCACCCCUUUAGCUUAGACUCCCUGAGCAAGGAGCCUGGAUGGGCCCCCAGCCCAGAGGCCAUGAUGUGGCUGGGGCAAAGCUGAGCCCCUCCCAUGGCCUUUGUUGGGGGCCAUAGGACCUGGCUUCCUGCUUUGCCCACCCAGUGCAACUGUCUGCAGAGCAGGGAGCAAGACUGGGUAAGAGUGGCCUGGAGAAAUCAAGCAUAGGCCAAGCGCCCAGUGCAAAUACUGUGCACCCUCUCCCUGAUGCAAACGCUGCCCCAGGGAAGUUUGACAGAUGACACCCAACGGAGGAAGGAGCCAGCUCAGCUCCUCAGCAUCCAUUUCUCUCGUCCUCACCCCACCUGGACCUGGCCAUGUGACUCCAUUCUGAGGCUCUGUGGUCCCACGUCUGGGUCUCUCCAACUGAAGCCUGGCCUUAACAGAGCCCUAGGGGAGGAGCUGCUGAGGGGAGAAUGGGGUCACCCUGGGGACAGAAGAGGCUGAAGGAGUCAGGUGAGGCCAGGGGCGUGGGUAAGGUCACCUGGAGUUGAUGUCCGGUGAGAAGAGAACCUGGACCAGAAUCCUGAGGGUCAUCACUUUUUUUUUUUUUUUUAAUGGCCACACCUACAACAUACAGACGUUUCUGGGCCAGGGAUUGAAUCUGUACCACAGAGGUGACCAUUGCUGCAGCUGUGUCAACACCAGAUCUUUUAACCCACUGCACAAGGCUGGGGAAUGAACCUGCACCUUCACAGUGACCUGAGCCACUGCAGUUGGAUUGCAUUUCCCAGGUAUAUGGAAGUUCCCAGGCUAGGGGUCCAAUUGGAGCUACAGUCGCUGGACUACACUACAGCCACAGCAA
rnacentral:lncRNA from 1 species